rnacentral:tRNA from 1 species
GGGCGAUUAGUUCAGUUGGCUAGAACGCCUGGUUUACACCCAGGAGAUCAUAGGUUCGAGUCCUAUAUCGCCCACCA